rnacentral:rRNA from 1 species
UACGUAGGGUGCGAGCGUUAAUCGGAAUUACUGGGCGUAAAGUGUGCGCAGGCGGCGUCGCAAGUCGAGUGUGAAAGCCCCGAGCUUAACUUGGGAAUUGCGCUCGAAACUACGAUGCUGGAGUGUGGCAGAGGAAGGUGGAAUUCCACGUGUAGCGGUGAAAUGCGUAGAGAUCGGAAAGAACACCAACGGCGAAAGCACUCUGCUGGGCCGACACUGACACUGAGAGACGAAAGCUAGGGGAGCGAAUGGG